GCCAAACAGCUAGCCCAAUCAAAUAAAACCAAAAAAUCACCAUAAAUACCCCCAGACACACAACCCAACUGAUUAAUCAAAUCAUUUUUUUACCUAAGUACGGGAGACGGAAAAGGAACCACGGAGCUAUAGACAAAGUACCGCAAGGGAACGCUGAAAGAGAAAUGAAAUAAUCCAGUAAAGCAUAA
rnacentral:rRNA from 1 species